rnacentral:tRNA from 1 species
GCCGGGGUGGCCGAAUGCUUAGGUGGCGGAUUGUAGCCCCGCUGACGGAGGUUUAAGUCCUCCCCCCGUCA